AGUGAACGCUGGCGGUAGGCCUAACACAUGCAAGUCGAACGGCAGCACAGUAAGAGCUUGCUCUUACGGGUGGCGAGUGGCGGACGGGUGAGGAAUACAUCGGAAUCUACUUUUUCGUGGGGUAUAACGUAGGGAAACUUACGCUAAUACCGCAUACGACCUACGGGUGAAAGCAGGGGAUCUUCGGACCUUGCGCUCUUGAAUGAGCCGAUGUCGGAUUAGCUAGUUGGCGGGGUAAAGGCCCACCAAGGCGACGAUCCGUAGCUGGUCUGAGAGGAUGAUCAGCCACACUGGAACUGAGACACGGUCCAGACUCCUACGGGAGGCAGAAGUGGGGAAUAUUGGACAAGGGGCGCAAGCCUGAUCCAGCCAUACCGCGUGGGUGAAGAAGGCCUUCGGGUUGUAAAGCCCUUUUGUUGGGAAAGAAAAGCAGCAGGUUAAUACCCCGCUGUUCUGACGGUACCCAAAGAAUAAGCACCGGCUAACUUCGUG
rnacentral:rRNA from 1 species